rnacentral:lncRNA from 1 species
CUCCAAAAUUCAUGCAAUUCUUUAUCAAAAAUCUCGACUUUCACCAUCUCUUUGCAUCCACGAGCUUCCACUCUCCAUCCACCUAAUUCCUGCACCAAAUGCCAACAACUUGGGUAAUAUAAAGGAAAAAUCAACGGCAAACGACACGAAAAUAGAUAACUAAAACACACCCAUCAGAUAAUCUACUGAAAGGGCAAGUGAUAAUCCCAAAUUCUGAAACUGUUUGUGCUCUCUGUAAGCUGCAGACCAAAGACACAAACCACCUCUUCUUCUCCUGCCAAAAAACCACCGAAAUCUAGUAUGAGUUACUUCUCUGGCUCAGGAAGCAGACGGCAUUACAUUCCAAUGCGAAAGAUAAUUUAUUUGCCUUCACAAAUCUCGGGUACAAGAAGGACAUACAAUUUCUAUCCGGAGUUUGGAUUUGUACAGUUUAGUGUAUAUGGAAAGGAAUGAACGAAUGCAGAUUCAAUCAAGGAGUUUGGAUAAAAGAAAAAAUGGUUGCAGAGAUCAAGUCGAGGCUUUGGGGUUGGAAGUUGGCAUAUAACCUGCGGACGCCCUCAUCAGAUUUUAGGUCUUGGUUCUCCGUCGCAAGGAUUGAAGAGUGAUACUU